GAUGAACGCUGGCGGCGUGCCUAAUACAUGCAAGUCGAGCGAACAGACGAGGAGCUUGCUCCUCUGACGUUAGCGGCGGACGGGUGAGUAACACGUGGAUAACCUACCUAUAAGACUGGGAUAACUUCGGGAAACCGGAGCUAAUACCGGAUAAUAUAUUGAACCGCAUGGUUCAAUAGUGAAAGACGGUUUUGCUGUCACUUAUAGAUGGAUCCGCGCCGCAUUAGCUAGUUGGUAAGGUAACGGCUUACCAAGGCAACGAUGCGUAGCCGACCUGAGAGGGUGAUAGGCCACACUGGAACUGAGCCACGGUCCAGACUCCUACGGGAGGCAGCAGUAGGGAAUCUUCCGCAAUGGGCGAAAGCCUGACGGAGCAACGCCGCGUGAGUGAUGAAGGUCUUCGGAUCGUAAAACUCUGUUAUUAGGGAAGAACAAAUGUGUAAGUAACUAUGCACGUCUUGACGGUACCUAAUCAGAAAGCCACGGCUAACUACGUG
rnacentral:rRNA from 1 species